UGCAAUGGCAUGAUCUCGGCUCACUGC
rnacentral:piRNA from 2 species